rnacentral:rRNA from 1 species
UACAGAGGUCCCAAGCGUUGUUCGGAAUUACUGGGCGUAAAGGGCUCGUAGGCGGCCAACUAAGUCAGACGUGAAAUCCCUCGGCUUAACCGGGGAACUGCGUCUGAUACUGGAUGGCUUGAGUUUGGGAGAGGGAUGCGGAAUUCCAGGUGUAGCGGUGAAAUGCGUAGAUAUCGUGAGGAAGACCAGUGGCGAAGGCGGGUCUCGUGGACAGUUCCUGACACUGAGGCACGAAGGCCAGGGGAGCAAACGGG